rnacentral:tRNA from 2 species
GGAGACGUGGGUGAGUGGCUGAAACCAAGCCUUUGCUAAAGGCUCGUAGUCCAAAAGACUACCGUGAGUUCAAAUCUCACCGUCUCCGCCA